CCCUUAGAUGUUCUGGGCUGCACGCGCGCUACACUGAAGCGUUCAACGAGUAUUCACCUUGCCCGGGAGGGUUGGGUAAUCUUUUGAAAACGCUUCGUGAUGGGGAUAGAUUAUUGCAAUUAUUAAUCUUCAACGAGGAAUUCCUAGUAAGCGCGAGUCAUCAGCUCGUGCUGAUUACGUCCCUGCCCUUUGUACACACCGCCCGACGCUCCUACCGAUUGAGUGAUCCGGUGAAUAAUUCGGACUGCAGCACUGCUUGGUCUCCAGGCUUUGCAGCGGAAAGUUUAGUGAACCUUAUCACUUAGAGGAAGGAGAAGUCGUAACA
rnacentral:rRNA from 1 species